CUCAGGAUGAACGCUAGCUACAGGCUUAACACAUGCAAGUCGAGGGGAAACGACAUCGAAAGCUUGCUUUUGAUGGGCGUCGACCGGCGCACGGGUGAGUAACGCGUAUCCAACCUGCCCACCACUUGGGGAUAACCUUGCGAAAGUAAGACUAAUACCCAAUGACGUCUCUAGAAGACAUCUGAAAGAGAUUAAAGAUUUAUCGGUGAUGGAUGGGGAUGCGUCUGAUUAGCUUGUUGGCGGGGUAACGGCCCACCAAGGCGACGAUCAGUAGGGGUUCUGAGAGGAAGGUCCCCCACAUUGGAACUGAGACACGGUCCAAACUCCUACGGGAGGCAGCAGUGAGGAAUAUUGGUCAAUGGACGAGAGUCUGAACCGGCCAAGUAGCGUGCAGGAUGACGGCCCUAUGGGUUGUAAACUGCUUUUAUAAGGGAAUAAAGUGAGUCUCGUGAGACUUUUUGCAUGUACCUUAUGAAUAAGGACCGGCUAAUUCCGUGCCAGCAGCCGCGGUAAUACGGAAGGUCCGGGCGUUAUCCGGAUUUAUUGGGUUUAAAGGGAGCGUAGGCCGGAGAUUAAGCGUGUUGUGAAAUGUAGACGCUCAACGUCUGCACUGCAGCGCGAACUGGUUUCCUUGAGUACGCACAAAGUGGGCGGAAUUCGUGGUGUAGCGGUGAAAUGCUUAGAUAUCACGAAGAACUCCGAUUGCGAAGGCAGCUCACUGGAGCGCAACUGACGCUGAAGCUCGAAAGUGCGGGUAUCGAACAGGAUUAGAUACCCUGGUAGUCCGCACGGUAAACGAUGGAUGCCCGCUGUUGGUCUGAAUAGGUCAGCGGCCAAGCGAAAGCAUUAAGCAUCCCACCUGGGGAGUACGCCGGCAACGGUGAAACUCAA
rnacentral:rRNA from 1 species